GAAAGUUUCAGCAGAAUUGAUGGUGUCUUGGUGGAGCAUAAUCAAGAUUAUUGGAGCAGGACAGGAGGUUUUCCUGGAAUGGGAUGAAAAUCAGCCCAGAGAUAAUAAGUGAAAAUCCAGAGACUCGGAGGCCCUAGACCUAUUGGCGAGUCACUUCUCUGCUCUAGAACUCAGUUUCCCCAUGUGUCAGGAAUUACAAGAGCUAUUGCCCUGGUUAUGUCAGAGUUGUGACAAGCUGCAGGUGAGGUGAUGGAUGUGGAGGCUCUAUGAAGUGUAAAAAGUGCUAGACAAAUACAAAAGUUAAUUUGAAUAAUGAUUAUGCUUCAUAUAGAGGCAAGCCACAAUUAUUCAAGACUGCAUAUCCCAGCCCAGGAGUGAAGGGGAAAUGGAUAUUAGUGAUUGCCAGGAUGGAGAUCCUCACUUGACAGGUAAGGAAAGUGGGGCAAGACAGGGUAGAGGGCUCACCCAAGGUCAGUGACAGAGCUGAGAUUAACAUUGACAUUUCUCCCUCUGGUCUGUUGAUUUCUCUCUUUUUCCUUUAGCAAAGAGACUUCUGGACCAUUUUUUGGGUCAUUGCUAUCUCUCGCCAGAAAAGGAUCCAGAACAAUCAAAAGAGAAUAGUCUGACUGUCAGUUUGGGUCUCAGUAAGAUAAAUGGCUUCAGGA
rnacentral:lncRNA from 12 species